GCUUAGAGUUUGAUCCUGGCUCAGAUUGAACGCUGGCGGCAUGCUUUACACAUGCAAGUCGAACGGUAACAGGUCUUCGGAUGCUGACGAGUGGCGAACGGGUGAGUAAUACAUCGGAACGUGCCUAGUAGUGGGGGAUAACUACUCGAAAGAGUAGCUAAUACCGCAUGAGAUCUACGGAUGAAAGCAGGGGACCUUCGGGCCUUGUGCUACUAGAGCGGCUGAUGGCAGAUUAGGUAGUUGGUGGGGUAAAGGCUUACCAAGCCUGCGAUCUGUAGCUGGUCUGAGAGGACGACCAGCCACACUGGGACUGAGACACGGCCCAGACUCCUACGGGAGGCAGCAGUGGGGAAUUUUGGACAAUGGGCGAAAGCCUGAUCCAGCAAUGCCGCGUGCAGGAUGAAGGCCCUCGGGUUGUAAACUGCUUUUGUACGGAACGAAAAGCCUGGGGCUAAUAUCCCCGGGUCAUGACGGUACCGUAAGAAUAAGCACCGGCUAACUACGUGCCAGCAGCCGCGGUAAUACGUAGGGUGCAAGCGUUAAUCGGAAUUACUGGGCGUAAAGCGUGCGCAGGCGGUUUUGUAAGACAGUGGUGAAAUCCCCGGGCUCAACCUGGGAACUGCCAUUGUGACUGCAAGGCUAGAGUGCGGCAGAGGGGGAUGGAAUUCCGCGUGUAGCAGUGAAAUGCGUAGAUAUGCGGAGGAACACCGAUGGCGAAGGCAAUCCCCUGGGCCUGCACUGACGCUCAUGCA
rnacentral:rRNA from 1 species